CAUAUUGGAUUAAAAUAUAACUACAAAAUAAAUUAAGUAAUCAAGUUAAUCGCAAAGAAGUGGAAAAAAUCUAUUUUGACUUACUGCACUUUAUAACUUUCACAUAAUACAUUAUGAUAUCAAAUCAGAAUUUGAAUAUGCCAUAGUGAAAUAUACUUUCACUUACAAUUUGGAAGAUCCUUUAUGUUAAAAUGAUAUUCAUACCGAUAUUUCCAAUUGCAUUUAAAAAUACCAAUAUUUUGGUAACAGUGAAAAAUAAAUUAACGCUUCACAUAUCGGAUUAAAAUAUGACUACAAAAUAAAUUAAGUAAUCAAGUUAAUUGCAAAG
rnacentral:lncRNA from 1 species